rnacentral:rRNA from 1 species
GUAAGGAAUAUUGGUCAAUGGAGGCAACUCUGAACCAGCCAUGCCGCGUGCAGGAAGACGGCCCUCUGGGUUGUAAACUGCUUUUAUCCGGGAAUAAACCUGCCUUCGUGAAGGUAGCUGAAUGUACCGGAAGAAUAAGGAUCGGCUAACUCCGUGCCAGCAGCCGCGGUAAUACGGAGGAUCCAAGCGUUAUCCGGAUUUAUUGGGUUUAAAGGGUGCGUAGGCGGCCUGUUAAGUCAGGGGUGAAAGACGGUGGCUCAACCAUCGCAGUGCCCUUGAUACUGAUGGGCUUGAAUGGACUAGAGGUAGGCGGAAUGUGACAAGUAGCGGUGAAAUGCAUAGAUAUGUCACAGAACACCGAUUGCGAAGGCAGCUUACUAUGGUCCUAUUGACGCUGAGGCACGAAAGCGUGGGGAUCGAACAGGAUUAGAAACCCGGGUAGUCC